UUAACUUUUGUCAUACAUUAAAGCUCUACUGAAGUCUUUUAAAUGCCAAAUCGGAGUCGGCCAUAUUAGUUUUCGAUAACCCUACUAUCUGCUAACCAGGUACCACCCAAUUGUGUGGUCACGCACGACUGAUUUAGUCAGUCGGUUUCAUUCGAAUAGGAUAUUCGCCAAGGCCUAUUUGUAAAAUUUUUAUUCAAUAAAAUAAAAGGCAGAAGUAUCUCAAAUUCUGAGAUAAAAUAAAUGCUUUUGAAAGCAUCUUUGGUGUUGAGCAACGCUGAUAACACGCAGUUACAUAGUCACAGAAGUUGGUACUUGUGCAGCUGCAUUCCACGUGCACUAAAAAGCUGAAGUUCCUGGUUGUAAAUAUCCAAGACAAGGCCGAAGGUAAGAUAAACGAGCAUAAAUGCAAAAGCACCUAAAAAAUAAAUUACGAACCAAAAAAUAUAUUUACUUCGUAAAAAGUUUGCAAUGUGACAGGACCUCAGCUGACCGACCGACGACACGUCUGCACUCAGCACGAUUUGACCGUGUUAUGCCUUGCCCAUGCGCAAAGGAAAGACUGGAGUGAAAAUGAAAGUAGACCCAAAAGCACAUGUGUAAACACAGGGGAGCUAUUAUUAUAGCUGUUCACGAAUAAAAGUGACAAUAGAUAAGUACAAUUGUUGGCGAAUUGUAAAAUUAAAUCGUUUUAUAUUGCUUUAAAGUGUCAGCAGUAUGAACAUCGAUAUUUCGGACAAUGCCAGUUAUUGUGACGAUGAAGAAACCGAGCACCUGGAGCACAACAUCAUGAACAUGAUGAUGACAAUGGUGAACGUGAUGAAGAAGAGGCGUCCGGCUGGUGGGCGAUGAAUAUAAGAUGUGGAAAGAUAUAUCAAGGAAUACUGAUGAUUAUGACAAGAUGGAGAUGGAUACCCUUUCAGAUAGAUGAUUUAUUGUUGGAGAGAGGGAAAUAUUGGACCUGCUUAAAAGGAGCAUGUUUCAAAGAGUGAGGUGGACCAAUACUCCGCUCUUCGUUGUUAGGCAGAGAAAAUAGCUGCAGGAGUAAA